GAUCGCGGUGAUGACUCACGAAAUUCAAGCUCAACAGACCGGAAUGCAGGGUUUUUCUUUAUAGAGAAAGACUUUGCGUGUCGAUAUUCCCGCUGAACUGAGUGAUC
rfam:Populus trichocarpa isolate Nisqually-1 chromosome 12, whole genome shotgun sequence.